rnacentral:rRNA from 1 species
CCUACGGGAGACUGCAGUGAGGAAUAUUGGUCAAUGGACGAGAGUCUGAACCAGCCCAGUAGCGUGAAGGAUGACUGCCCUAUGGGUUGUAAACUUCUUUUAUAUGGGAAUAAAAUGUUCCACGUGUGGGAUUUUGUAUGUACCAUAUGAAUAAGGAUCGUCUAACUCCGUGCCAGCAGCCGCGGUAUUACUGAGGAUCCGAGCUUUAUCCGGAUUUAUUGGGUUUAAGGGGAGCGUAGGUGGGUUGUUACGUCAGUGGUGAAAGUUUGCGGCUCAAGCGUAAAAUUGCAGUUGAAACUGGCAGUCUUGAGUACAGUAGAGGUGGGCGGAAUGCGUGGUGUAGCGGUGAAAUGCUUAGAUAUCACGAAGAACUCCGAUUGCGAAGGCAGCUCACGGGACUGCAACUGACACUGAGGCUCGAAAGUGUGGGUAUCAAACAGGAUUAGAUACCCUAGUAGUC